GCUGCGCCGUAGCGCUAGUGCCGCCGCCCGCUCACCCUCAUCCCCUAGGCCUCCACUUCUCUGAUUGGGGCGACUUCAUGGCGAGCGGGCACAAAUCCGACAUGGGCGCCUCUGCUCCGACGACCGCUCUCUCCUCUGCGCCUCCACUGCCCCUCUCCCUGUUAGGCGGCGACAGCAAGGAGGAGGAGGAGGAAGGGUUGGCUGGGCCACCGUCGGCACCACGCGAGGCACGAGCGCAACCGCGCCUAUGAGUUCCAUAGCUCCGAGCCGUCGACGCUAGGCGGCAGUGCCCUCGUCUGGACCUGCCCGCGCCCAGGCGGAGCCGCCGCCGACCCGAGAUCUGCCUAGGUCGCCCGCCUGCUCUGGAUGACCAAGGUCACCUCCGCGGACGCUGAGCAGCUGAGCUCCUCCCGCGAAGGCGUGAACCCGCCCCCAGCCGAGGCACUGAGCUCCGCCCUGCCCCGCUCGGGCGUGCCCCUGCACAGGCCCAGCCGCCUCGCUCCUGUUUGCCGCCACGGUUCCAGUAACGACGAGGCUGAGCGACAACUCCAGUGUCCCGAUGUUGAAUAAGUGAAGUGGAUGAGUCAGAUGGUGGAGGAGACAGUGUGUAGGAGCAGCCUGUUUAUGUGGCCGUAGUGGAUCUCGCAUGUUCCGAAGAGUUCCUGGAACUCAUCAAGAGUGCACUUCUUACAGCCCUAGAAGCCUGUUUGUGAGCUUGGUAUUCCUCCUGAAAACAUCACUGCAAACCAAUUGUUAUUUGGCACAUUGAGGGAGUACGCCGGAUUUGAUCCCACAGAGCCCACUUCACGCAGUGGGGGUAAAGCAAAAGCAGUGCAGCAAAUAAAAUAGGACCAUGGCUACAAGACAAUUGUUACAAUUGGUGAUGGCGCAACUGAUCUGGAGGCUCGGCAACCUGGCGGAGCAGACUGUGUGCCGCCAGAGCUAGUGGAGGGAGGCGGGUCAUUCGAUUCGCCAUGCUUAGGAUUGGAGAAUCAAUAGAGUAAUAGUAUAUACAUGGUGGGGAGUGAAACCAACAGAGGAAGAAUCCGUUCUUGAUCAAAAUUAGUCGACUGCUUGGUUCGUCGUCUGCGUGUUCGAUCGGAGGUUGGCGACGCCUUGGCGUGGGCGCUUUCCGCAAGAAAGCAAGGAAAUUGGUCGGCUUCUACGCUACCAGUCCGGUCCACUUCGUUCACCUUUCCCUUUCGGUGCCACCAACAUCUAACUGUACAUGCAUGCUUGCUUAGUGCUGACCGCCGCUAAUGCGCUGGAUAUUUCUGGGAGUGGAAACGAAAGUGUACUCUGAAUUUCAAGUUCCUGUCAAAAGUAAGAUCCUCUGACGAAGGUGUGGUUGUGAUCAUGCAUAAACUAACUGUUGCUGCCACAUGGAUUGGAGAGGGAGAUCGAUCCACAGAAAAUGGUAUCAUUUGUCAAGUGCAUGUUAGGACUUGAUGCUGUUGUUUGGGACAUUAUUGGGUCGUCAUUGUUGGAGAAAGUUGUGUAUCUACUUACAGAAUUGGAUGUUAAUAUAACAUGGGAAGAUAUUCUUCAAGAUGAACACAACAAAGGUAUAUUUGACAUGGAGCUUGAGGAUUUGGCUGAGGAUGAACAUAACCUUGGCCGCACAAGUGUAGAGACUUGAAUUCAUAUAUACUUAGUUAGGCUCAAUGUUAGCAUAAACAGUUGAUGAGCAAGUUUUCCCAUUAGUAUUUUAGUUUGAAUUUAGAGUACAAUUAUGUAUGAGUUAUUUGAUAAUGCUUAUUUAUGAGAUAUUGAAUGGUGUUUAUCUAUAUUGUAUUAAUUAUAGUGUUAUUAAAU